UCCAGCGCUCAGUCAGCUGUCCAGGUAUUGGUGUCUGGCUCAGUGUUACAGUGCUGGUAGAGUAUCUCUGUAUUUGGCUUCGGCUGCAGGUUCUGUUUUAGAGUCUGCUGUCGCUGAGCUGCUGCAGAGUGCUGCCCAACGAGAGUGGCCUGUCCUGAUCCAACAGCAGGACGGGCCUAGUACAAGGCUGCACACU